UAAGCCAUUUGAGCGAGUGAUCCUAAGGUCUUAUGUCUCGGCGGCCCUAUGCUUGUUUACCAGUUAUUACAAUUUUCUUUUUUCUUUUCAAGCUCCACCUCUUUGAGAGGUUUAGGUCCCGUGAUGUUGGGCAGCAAUCUGUUCUCUGAGGCGUUUGGGAGAGGUUGUCACUAUACUUCUCUGUCAGUUGGAAGUCCUGAUUGCAUUGAUUACCUGCUGCCCUGCUACAAGCUUGGGAGUAAUACGUCCUGUAGGAUUUUGCUCUGCCAAUAUCGGAGUUGCAGGCUGGCCCUUAUCUUUGCCUCUGGCUCUGUGUAUGUCAGAGGGACCUCUCUGUUAGCUGUAAUGCAGUCCAAGCUCCACCUCUUCUGAGAUGUUUUGUUUAUGGUCCCAAGAUUUUGGGUGGAAUCUAUUUUCUGAGCUGUUUGAAGAGGUUGUCCCUGUACUUUUCUGCCAGUUGGAAGUCCUGAUUGCGCUGAUUACCUGCUACCCCACUACAAGCUGGGGAUUAACACAUCCUGCGGCAUUUUGCUCCACCAAUAUUGGAGUUGCAGGCUGACCUUCAUCUUCGCCUCUGGCUCUGCGUACGUUAGAGGGACCUCUCAGCUAUCCGGUAAAGUGGAAUUAUUGGCACUGUCUGCAAGUACACGUGAUCACGGCGCAUGGACCCUGGUGUGGGUCCUUUUAACCCUGCAUUCCUGGGAUUACUCCAGAUGUGGAGGUUAAACGAGAUUAUUUAGGAGAUCACGACGUCAUAUUAAAGGCCUUAUUAGGAUAUUUGAAUAAGAGUGUAUAUUGUUAGGAUAUUCCAAUUCUUUUGGCAUUCUCUUUCUUUCUGAGCCCCUUCUUUUGUGUACAUUUGAUUUGCCAUCUUUCAUUAGUAGUGUGAGUGUGUUUUGAUUUAUGGUUAAUUAAGGGUGUUUGCUGUUCAUUUUGUUUAUGUAUUUACAAGGUUCAGGUGUUACUUCUGUCUGGUGAUUAUGUAUUAAAUAUUAAGUGGUUUCU